AAUAGGGGCACAGUUGUAUAUUUAUAAAAUUCUAUUUCACAAAGCUUGAAACACAAUAUAAAGUCUGUAUUAUGACAGCGUGGUUUGUAGCUAGAGCCCGUGACUGUUAAGACAGGUGCUCGUAUCCCAUGUUCUGGUCCAUCAAGCUCUAAUCAACGCUUAACAUCAGAUAUAUAUCUAUAUCACCUUAUAAGUUGUAUCAUGAUGAAGUUUGCAAAAGUAAACAUUGCAGCCAUAGUGUUUAUGUGCAUGUCAUACGCACAAGCCAAGUGUCGCUGCCAGCAAAUUACCAGGGUGGUCAAUGGACAGAAUGUGUGUUCGUGCAACCCAGGAUAUAUCGUCAACCCUGCUAAAUGUCUAGACAUCGAUGAAUGCAAUGGUCAGUCAAGUCCAUGUUAACAGGUUUGUACCAACACCAUUGGAAGCUACACCUGUUCAUGUUAUGAUGGAUACGUCAUAAGUAGCACAGACCCCACACAGUGUGAUGUUCUAGACAUCGAUGUAUGCAAUGCUGAACCAAGCCCAUGUCAACAUAAUUGCACCAACACAGACGGAAGCUUCACUUGUUCAUGUAGACCUGGAUUCGCCGUAAAUAGCACGGACCGAACAAAGUGUGAUGCACUCUGUGUUCCGUUAUCAAGUGGAAUAAUUGAAACCCGAAACGCUACAUCAGCCCUGGAAUGCCUCUCAGCCUGUAGGGCAGAAAAUUGCUUCGCUUUCAAGUUUGCCGAUGGUGUGUGUACAACCAAGCUCUAUGUUGGCGAUGUUGUUGAUGUUACUCAAAAUAUAGUUGCUGGUUCAAUUAUCACAUGCUACAAUGAUUACUCUCAGUGCACUUUAAAAAGCGAUGUAGAUAAUAAUGUACCCGUCACCGAACAGGGUCACGAGGCUUGUUUUACCUUUUGCCUUGAAGAUCCCGAUUGUAUCGGCUAUCACUACAUCCCCAACCUUUUAUGUGUUCAUACUUAUACGGCUGGAGACACUGUUGACAUAAACAACUUUCCGGUGGACAAAUUUGUCUAUCUUAAAUGUCAUGAAUAAAACAGUUGGGGAAGACACGUCUGCACAGAAAGAAACAAUGUACUGCCGACACUCGACAUUUGUCCAAGAAACUGCUUAGACGACUUGUCUAUAUACUGGAAACAGUUGAAUAAAGACGUGUAUUCUGAU